rnacentral:misc_RNA from 1 species
GAUGAAGAACGCAGUGAAAUGCGAUAAGUAAUGUGAAUUGCAGAAUUCAGUGAAUCAUCGAAUCUUUGAACGCACAUUGCGCCCGCCAGUAUUCUGGCGGGCAUGCCUGUUCGAGCGUCAUUUCAACCAUCAAGCCCCAGGCUUGUGUUGGGGACCUGCGGCUGCCGCAGGCCCUGAAAACCAGUGGCGGGCUCGCUGUCACACCGGGCGUAGUAGAUUUUAUCUCGCUCAGGGCGUGCUGCGGGUUCCGGCCGUUAAAAAGCCUUUUUUACCAAGGUUGACCUCGGAUCAGGUAGGAAUACCCGCUGAACUUAAGCAUAUCAAUAAGCGGAGGA